AUGAAGAACAAAAGUGGUGGUCACAGACGCAAUAAAUCAGCUCGCAAUGAAGCCGCUGCUGGCAACAAGAAUGGUCGUCGCAGGCGGAAUAAAUCAGCUCGCAAUGGAGCCGCUGCUGACAAUGGCGACAGGCUUAGCAAUCUGCCCAAUGACCUCCUGCUCAACAUUCUGGAGAGGGUGGACACACUUGAUGCUAUAAGGACCUGCAUCCUCUCCAAGCAAAUGCUGAAUCUCCCCACCAUGCUCUCGCAGUUCUUCUUAAGUGCUGGUUCCGUUCCAGGUCACCAUGAUAAAGCUUGUGUUUUCAGCCGCGGUGAAGUUCUCCGAACCAACAAUGCUGUGGCUCGUGUAACGGAUAGCAUCUUGUGCACAAGGAAUCCGAAGAUCGCCAUUACUAAACUUAAAAUCAGAUUCGUCUUGAUGCCACAUGUCUCUCUCACCAUUGGAAGAUCUGUUGCCCGUGCCAUGGCAACCCAGAAGGUUGGCGCAGCUGAGUUUGAGAUCAUAACGGAGAAGGCUUAUACGGACUGCUCUCCUGCCGAUCUUCUCCAAUUUGCGAAUCAGUUAAAUAAUUUUGUUGGUGCUUUCCCAGAUGCAUUUGCUGGACUCAGGCGCCUGUGGCUGCGCAAUAUGAGGUUUGGUGAACUGGACAUCACCAACAUUCUCAGCACUUGCAAACUCUUGGCAUCUUUGCGUUUAACCGAGUGCGACUCAGGGAUCGAUUCUGUGCUGCAAGUAGAACAUGCUCAGCUUGUUGAGCUUGAGGUAGACUACGGGGAAUUUUCAAGAGUUGAGCUGACAUGUCUACCAAAACUCCAACGAGUGAGGUAUAAUAAUUGGUACUCUUAUGAAGAUCCCCUGUAUUUUGGUUUUGUACCACAGCUUUCAAAGCUGAGCCUCACUAAAACUGGUGUCCGUUGGGAGAAGACUCUGGAGUUAAGUCAGCUCCUUGCUAAUGUUCCGAACAUAAGCAAUCUGCAUCUUGAUUUUGAAAGUGAAAAGAUCUGGGUUCUACCAGAAUGCCCGAAACUGCUCACGCCUGUGCUCGGCAAACUACAGCAUGUGAAUCUAGACAAUCUUCCUGAAGGAUGUGAUUUAGCUUGGACGAUGUUUAUUCUUGAAGCUGCACCCACCCUAGAAGAGCUGUGUGUCGCGGUAAGGGAUCAUUGGUGCAUAAUGCUGACAGACGAAGAAGCUCGGAAGAAAAAUGGUUACUGCGAAAAGGCAGACGUGAAUUGGAAGCCAUAUGCACCUGAUUUCAAGCACAAGAAUCUGGCUAAGCUCACCAUCUAUGGCUUCCAACCCAACGACAAUUUUAAGCGAUACAUCAGAUGUGUUGUGGAACAUGCGGUUAAUAUAACAGAGAUAUCUCUGUACGACAGGAAAGUGUGCGGGAGCUGUGGUGACUUGGAUCCCGAGAUCAAGGUAAAGGUUUGUCCAUCAAGAUAUCCACAGACAGCCGAGGAGAUGAAGCAGAUAACUGAGGGGUUGGGUUUGGCUUCGCGUGCUGUGAUUCACUUCCGGUCCUAA
rnacentral:rRNA from 1 species